rnacentral:rRNA from 1 species
UACGGAGGGUGCAAGCGUUGUUCGGAAUUACUGGGCGUAAAGCGCGUGUAGGCGGUUGCGUAAGUCUGAUGUGAAAGCCCGGGGCUCACCCCCGGAAGAGCAUUGGAAACUGCGCGACUAGAGUGCCGGAGAGGAGGGUGGAAUUCCUGGUGUAGCGGUGAAAUGCGUAGAUAUCAGGAGGAACACCGGUGGCGAAGGCGGCCCUCUGGACGGAUACUGACGCUGAGACGCGAAAGCGUGGGGAGCAAACAGG